CCAAUGCUUUGCAAGCACCCAUUGUUCCAAGAAGAGAGACCAGUUUGGCACACCAUCAACUGUAAUGUCCUUCCCAAAGAUACCAAGGAAACUAAGGCAGAGAAAGACAAAGCUGAAGAUAAGCAGGUUAUUAUGGCCACUGACAUGGAAUAUCCAUCAAAUUUUGAUUCAGAUGAAUAGGUUGGGCACUGCAUCCAGGGACCUUUGUCAGUACCAACUGAAUUAACUAAGGUGAUAAAAUGUAUUAUUAUUAGUAGACAAUGUUCUGCGUUCAGUUGCAAUCUUUGCACCUUUUAAAAG
rnacentral:misc_RNA from 1 species